GUUGAGUUAAAGCUAGAAUUUGAUUCGAUUAGUGAAUACAGAGUUGUUUUGAUGAAUUUAGUUCAAAUUGCUUUGGUAUAUGGAAAAGUUGCGUGUUUCUAAGAAAUGGUGAUUUUUUUGUUGCAGACUAAGAGAAAGAAGAAGGCUGGAAUGGCCGGGAAAUAUGAAAUUUGAUGAAGAAGCAUGAUGAUUAUUGAUAGAAGAUGGGUUCUCACUUCUCAAAGGGGCAACCUUCUUUAAAGAUUGCCGGUAAGCUGAUGGUAUCUUGAAAAAACCCAAGAACGGGAACAACUGUAUAUGCCAUUGAAGAUAUGUUCUGCUAUCUCAAUGGUGAAACAGAAAACGACUACUUUCCGGUGGUAAUUAAUUAGAAACUUUUCGUUUUUAUUUAUCAUCCUAUUCUAUAUGUACAUGUAGGAUCAUUAAUUGCAGCUUAUAGUGGACAUGAUUGUCCGUUAAGAGCUAAAGACUUGAGCUUUAAAACUAAAUGAAGAGGAGCUGUUUCCAAGUGUAGAAAUAAUUAGAAAAUCUCACAUAACGUUCAGAUAAAGCUGUAUUGACAUUUUCUUCUGUUUUGGUCUUGCUUUCAUAUUUAGGAAGUGCUUACUUGAUGUGCAUCUAGCUUGGCUCUCAAGUGGUACUCACAUUAACAAACCACUUUAGUUUCUAGAAAGGCCAGCUCUUUUAUUUCAUUCCUUUAUUUUCCCCUCUCAGUCUCUCCUCAGAGGCUCAGACUAUUAGCUAUGUUCUCUCUUUUCAGUCUACUUCACUCAUUGAAACUCAAAUUCACUCUCAAAUUUUCAGUCUACAUAUUAUCAAAUUCUCUCUUUCACUUUGAAAUCUAAGGAAUUUGGUCUUAGUUCUGCAUGCAAUUAUGAUAGCCACUUUGAAAUCUAAUGUAAAUCAGUUUCACCAUUGGCACUAAUCUGGGAUGUUCAGAUUUUGGAGCUUGACUUGU